rnacentral:rRNA from 1 species
UAGUCAUAUGCUUGUCUCAAAGAUUAAGCCAUGCAUGUCUAAGUAUACGCAAAUUAUACUGUGAAACUGCGAAUGGCUCAUUAAAUCAGUUAUAGUUUAUUUGAUGUUUCUUGCUACAUGGAUAACUGUGGUAAUUCUAGAGCUAAUACAUGCGUAAAAAGCCCCGACUUCUGGAAGGGGUGUAUUUAUUAGAUAAAAACCAUCCUCCUCGGAGUUUGGUGAUUCAUAAUAACUUCUCGAAUCGCACGGCCUUGUGCUGGCGAUGCUUCAUUCAAAUAUCUGCCCUAUCAACUGUCGAUGGUAGGAUAGAGGCCUACCAUGGUUGCAACGGGUAACGGGGAAUAAGGGUUCGAUUCCGGAGAGGGAGCCUGAGAAACGGCUACCACAUCCAAGGAAGGCAGCAGGCG